rnacentral:rRNA from 1 species
CUCAACAAUAUCUUGACCGGGAAGAGAAGGCCACUGGGAGAGAGAGAAACUUUUUGGCCCCUUUCAACCGGUCCUCGACCGGACGAGCACAACUGGUCUACCGGUUGAACCGGUUGAGCCAUUUUUUUGGCUCAACACUCAACCUUUUUCAACUUAAAACCUUUUAACACAAGUUUGAAAAUCAUUUAACACAAGGUUUUAGUUGAAAACAUGAAAUCAUCCAAUUCUUAAGAUAUUUAAAACAAUAUUACUCUUGGAUGAUUUUGGUGCAUAAAUAAAGAAUGAAAUGCAUGAAAGUCCUAGUGCACCAACAACCUUACAAAGAGAUCUUAAGAAGCUUUGGUCUUGAAAAACUCUUCUCUUUGAGGUGGUCUUCUUCUUCAUGAUUUCUCCUUGGCUUGAUUUGUCUUUGGAUUGCCACUUUGGAAGUCGUUUUGCCUAAUCACACUUGAAAUAUGAUCAUUAGUUCUAAACCUUGUUUUGUUAUUAUCAAAAUCAAGAUUAACUAAACAUUGGUUUCACAAUAUAUAUUGGAGAAUACUAGAAGAUAAUCUUGUAUUUUCAUAGGAUAACAUUUUUGAAUGGUUAUCUUGAUGAAAACAUCUAUAUGAUGUUACCAAAACAUUUUCAUAGCAAA